rnacentral:tRNA from 1 species
GUGGACGUGGCGGAAUGGUAGACGCAACGGACUUAAAAUCCGUUGGGAGCAAUCCCGUCCGGGUUCGAGUCCCGGCGUCCGCACCA